rnacentral:rRNA from 1 species
AGAGUUUGAUCCUGGCUCAGGAUGAACGCUAGCGGCAGGCCUAAUACAUGCAAGUCGAGGGGCAGCGGGAGUAGCAAUACUUGCCGGCGACCGGCGCACGGGUGCGUAACGCGUAUGCAACCUACCUUUUACAGGAGAAUAGCCCGGAGAAAUUCGGAUUAAUACUCCAUAACAUCAUAUGAGAGCAUUUGAGUAUGAUUAAAGUUCCGACGGUAAAAGAUGGGCAUGCGUGACAUUAGCUAGUUGGUGAGGUAAAGGCUCACCAAGGCGACGAUGUCUAAGGGAUCUGAGAGGACUACCCCCCACACUGGUACUGAGACACGGACCAGACUCCUACGGGAGGCAGCAGUAAGGAAUAUUGGUCAAUGGAAGCAACUCUGAACCAGCCAUGCCGCGUGCAGGAAGACGGACCUAUGGUUUAGUAAACUGCUUUUGUAUGGGAGAAAACUCCCGCUCGUGAGCGGGACUGAUAGUA